CUAGAGAACUUGCAAAUCCUCUUCCCCAGGCCAAAUCAUCUAGGGAGUUUCAUAUGGUCCAACGAAGCCAUAUAGUGUCAGCCCCUGACCUCAGGGGCCUUCUUUCUAGUGGAAGAUCUAAGUAAGCAAAGAGGCCAGUGUGACUCGGGGCAAAUUUAUCCAUGGAUGAACAGGCCCCAGGAACCCAUAGGCAGAUGCAGGACCCAGAGCGGUGAGAAGAGAGAAUACUCAGAAUACUCCACACCAGUGUGAUGUUUUGUUUCAACUAAACUGUGAAAAUUCCUAAACCCCACUAAAUUAGCAAAGUUCUGCUCCUAUGAAACUCCAUUUGUACUCUCCCUUCCCCUGAGCCCUCCCCAACGAAAAGAACCACUGAAAAGAAACCCACAAGCUGCUUUUCACCUUUGAGAACUUCGGAGCUCCAGCCACUCUCAAAC
rnacentral:lncRNA from 1 species